rnacentral:rRNA from 1 species
UACAGAGGUCCCAAGCGUUGUUCGGAUUCACUGGGCGUAAAGGGUGCGUAGGCGGUCUGGAAAGUUGGGUGUGAAAUCCCUCGGCUCAACCGAGGAACUGCGCUUGAAACUACCAGACUCGAGGGAGAUAGAGGAAAGCGGAACUGAUGGUGGAGCGGUGAAAUGCGUAGAUAUCAGGAGGAAUACCGAUGGCGAAGGCAGGUCUCUGGGCUGACACUGACGCUCAUGCACGAAAGCGUGGGGAGCAAACAGG